UCCCUCUCAGGAUCACACCUGGAGAGUUUCCAGUAUUCUACCAAUCUCGGCAAUGGGAGGGAGAGUCAAGCAGAGGGAUACCCAUUCCAUUUCUAGCUUGGGCAGUGGCUAGCAAGUGGAAAGCAAUCUACUACAAGU